GCCAGACCUAGCCCUACAUAACCACUAACUCAACUACCAGUAUCACCCAAAAAUCAAACCAUUUACCCACAUAAAAGUAUAUGCGAUAGAAAUUAUUAUUAGGCGCCAUAGAGAAAGUACCGCAAGGGAAAGAUGAAAGAACAACUAACAGCACAAAAUAGCAAAGACCUACCCUUUUACCUUUUGCAUAAUGAAUUAACUAGAAAAAUCUUUGCAAAGAGUACUUCAGUUAAGAACCCCGAACCCAGACGAGCUACCUAAAGACAGCAUAAAGAGCCAAUUCAUCUAUGUUGCAAAAUAGCGAAAAGAUCUUUAGGUAGAGGUGAAAAGCCAAACGAGCCUGGUGAUAGCUGGUUGUCCAGGAACCGAAUCUAAGUUCAACUUAAAAUUUGUCUAAAGAAUACAACAUGGAAUCUUAACACAAACUUUAAAUUUAGUCAACAGAGGUACAGCUCUAUUGAUAAGGGACAAGCCCCGCCUAGAGAGUUACUUUUUUCACCAUCUUAAUAGUAGGCCCAAAAGCAGCCACCAACAAAGAAAGCGUUCAAGCUCAACAGCAAUAAUACCAAAAAUUCCGAAAUAAACUCACAACUCCUAAACCCAUACUGGACUAAUCUAUAACAUAGAAGAAAUAAUGUUAAUAUUAGUAACAAGAAUAAACUUCUCCAUGCAUAAGCUUAUAUCAGAACGGACCUACCACUGAUAGUUAACAGCCAGACUUUUCCACACCACUAAAUAUCUUCAAGUCACUACUUACUGUUAACCCAACACAGGAGUGCAUACUGGAAAGAUUAAAAGAAGUAGAAGGAACUCGGCAAACAUAAAUCCCGCCUGUUUACCAAAAACAUCACCUCUAGCAUAACAAUUAUUAGAGGCACCGCCUGCCCAGUGACACAUGUUCAACGGCCGCGGUACCCUGACCGUGCAAAGGUAGCAUAAUCAUUUGUUCUCUAAUUAAGGACCUGUAUGAAAGGACCAACGAGGAUUUUACUGUCUCCUACCUCCAAUCAGUGAAAUUGACCUCCCCGUGAAGAGGCGGGGAUAAACCUAUAAGACGAGAAGACCCUAUGGAGCUUCAAUUAAUUAGCCUAAUCACAGCCCAUUCAAACCAACAGGGACAACUACCUGUAAUGUAGACUAAUAAUUUCGGUUGGGGUGACCUCGGAGUACAAGAAAACCUCCGAAAGACCAUGCACUCAGACUUCACCAGUCAACGUGCUUCAAUACCAUUAAUUGACCCAAGCAAUUGAUCAACGGAACAAGUUACCCUAGGGAUAACAGCGCAAUCCUAUUUCAGAGUCCAUAUCGACAAUAGGGUUUACGACCUCGAUGUUGGAUCAGGACAUCCUAAUGGCGCAGCAGCUAUUAAAGGUUCGUUUGUUCAACGAUUAAAGUCCUACGUGAUCUGAGUUCAGACCGGAGCAAUCCAGGUCGGUUUCUAUCUAUAAACCUUUUCUCCCAGUACGAAAGGACAAGAGAAACAGGGCCUACUCUACAAAAGCGCCCUAAAGUCAAAUAGAUGAAUUAAUCUUAAUCUAAUUAACCCAAAACAAAAUAACCCCAAGACCAGGGUUU
rnacentral:rRNA from 1 species